rfam:Flavobacterium sp. LM5 Flavobacterium_sp_LM5_contig1, whole genome shotgun sequence.
CCCUAGCCCCGGUAGUAGCGACAUCCUUUAGGGUCGGGGUUCGACCCUAAAGAUAGAGCGGAUAACGGGACUUUUC